GCAGCCUUCUCUUCUCCAGCCUGAACAGCCCCAGCUUUCUCAGCCUGUCCUUAUAGGAGAGGUGUUCCAUUCUGUGGAUCAUUUUUGUGACCCUUCUCUGGAUGUGCUCCAACAGGUACAGGUGUGUAGUGUCUAAGAAUGCACAUUGUCCAUCUUACUUGAUUUUCAUAUCCACUAACCUGAAACAGAGGGCUUUAUAAUGCCAUCCUACCAUUCAGGGACCCCAGGCUGAAGAUGUAUCUACUUCUUAACUUCCUGGAAGCUCACAGUUGUAAGGAAGCAGCUACAGUACUUCCAUUGCUGCUCACCUUUGUCCUCCCAGCAUCAGAAAUGAGGAGUAAAGCCAGUAUUUUCUUCCAGACUAAAAUAUUUCUGUUUUUUUCAGUAAGAAUAGUCUAUGACAAUGUGUGUGGCUAUGCCCACUGUGGCUCCUGAAUUUACAUCUGCAGUGAUGACAAAAGAGAGAUGAAGGAAGCCAUCCAAGUGACAGGUUGGCCACUGGACACCACAGUCCCACCAGUUUGCUCAAAUUGCUUCUGCCUGGAUGCUGGAAGAUGCUGUGCCAGCACCUAUUUUCAAUGCGACCAUAGACCCAGCAGCACAGUUUCCACACUUGGAGCUUUAGGUCUGGACCAACCCAACACUGCUGCUGAUGCUGAUGGCUGAUGGAGGCCACGUGCCAUGAGAUGGUACUAAGGUCCUCGGUACCAGUGUUUCAACGGAUGACCAAAGCCAUCAUGAACCUUUCCAUCUGUGGUUGGUGCUUUUAGUGAAAGCGUAGCUAUUCCGUGUUUUCUUUGACAGAUUAAUCCUACGCCCUUUCUGUAACUAUUCCUGUAGGAUGCAAACCAAUAAAACUUCUUCUAUUGUGUUUGGUUUUA